rnacentral:lncRNA from 1 species
GAGUGGCACAAUGUGUCCCUGCAAAGCACCAACCCAAAGCCCUGUGGUGUUAAUGGAUGUGUGAUGUAUUAACAGUAUUAAAUUGUUACAGAAUUAACUUUUAACUGUGUUUAAGCAGCAGACGUCAAAGAGAAUGCAUCACUGCUGGGGAACCUGGAGCAAGGCAUGAUUUGUGGAGCCCAGGUACACCACAGCAUCUGGUCAGGCAGGAUGUCUCACUGGGGGCUGAGCCAAACAGCCAAGAACACCAUCACCAAUGCCAUCCACAUGGGCACCUCUCAAACAUGGACCUUGGGUUCAGUCCCACAGGGAAGCCCUCCACAGAACACCCUCCAAGAGCAGAGCUGAGGUUUUGGUUUUCCCCGGGACUAUAUCAACCUGCUACUCGCAGAUGCGGACGCUGCACUU